UACGAAGGGUGCAAGCGUUAAUCGGAAUUACUGGGCGUAAAGCGUGCGUAGGCGGUUCUUUAAGUCUGCUGUGAAAUCCCCGGGCUCAACCUGGGAAUGGCAGUGGAUACUGGAGAGCUAGAGUGUGAUAGAGGAUGGUGGAAUUCCCGGUGUAGCGGUGAAAUGCGUAGAGAUCGGGAGGAACAUCAGUGGCGAAGGCGGCCAUCUGGAUCAACACUGACGCUGAGGCACGGAAGCGUGGGGAGCAAACAGG
rnacentral:rRNA from 1 species